rnacentral:rRNA from 1 species
GACGAACGCUGGCGGCGUGCUUAACACAUGCAAGUCGAACGGAAAGGCCCCUUUGGGGGUACUCGAGUGGCGAACGGGUGAGUAACACGUGAGUAACCUGCCCUUGACUUCGGGAUAACUUCAGUAAACUGGGGCUAAUACCGGCUAGGAAUCCUUUCUUCAUGGUUGGGGUUGGAAAGCUUCGUCGGUUUUGGAUGGACUCGCGGCUUAUCAGCUUGUUGGUUGGGUAGUGGCUUACCAAGGCUUUGACGGGUAGCCGGCCUGGGAGGGCGACCGGCCAAAUUGGGAAUGAGAUAAGGCCCAGACUCCUACGGGAGGCAGCAGUGGGGAAUAUUGCAAAAUGGGCGGAAGCCUGAUGCAGCAACGCCGCGUGCGGGAUGACGGCCUUCGGGUUGUAAACCGCUUUCAGCAGGGGCGAAGCUUGUGGUGACGGUACCUGGAGAAGAAGCACCGGCUAACUACGUG